rnacentral:rRNA from 1 species
GGAGCAAACCGGAUUAGAUACCCGGGUAGUCCACGCCCUAAACCAUGAGUGCUGGGUGUCCGGCUUCUGCUGGGUGCCGUAGCUAACGCGCUAAGCACUCCGCCUGGGAAGUACGCACGCAAGUGUGAAACUCAAAGGAAUUGACGGGGGCCCGCACAAGCGGUGGAGCAUGUGGUUCAAUUCGACGCAACGCGAAGAACCUUACCCGGGCUUGAAGAGCACGGGACCACCCCGAGAAAUCGGGGUUUCCCGCAAGGGACUCGUGCAGAGGUGCUGCAUGGCUGUCGUCAGCUCGUGUCGUGAGAUGUUGGGUUAAGUCCCGCAACGAGCGCAACCCUUGUCCUUAGUUGCUACCCCCGACGUAAGUCGGGGGGCUCUCUAAGGAGACUGCCCGUGACAAACGGGAGGAAGGUGGGGAUGACGUCAAGUCAGCAUGGCCUUUA